rnacentral:rRNA from 1 species
AGCGAACGUUAGCGGCGGGCCUAACACAUGCAAGUCGAACGCGAAAGGUCUUCGGACUGAGUAGAGUGGCGCACGGGUGAGUAACACGUAGGUAAUCUACCCUUUGGCGGGGGAUAACGUUCCGAAAGGAGCGCUAAUACCGCAUAAGACCACGGAGUCUCCGGACGCUGUGGGAAAAGGUGGCCUCUUCUUGAAAGCUACCACCGAAGGAUGAGCCUGCGUCCCAUCAGCUAGUUGGUAAGGUAAUGGCUUACCAAGGCGAAGACGGGUAGCUGGUUUGAGAGAAUGAUCAGCCACACUGGCACUGGAACACGGGCCAGACUCCUACGGGAGGCAGCAGUGAGGAAUAUUGGGCAAUGGGCGAAAGCCUGACCCAGCCACGCCGCGUGAGUGAUGAAGGCCCUCGGGUCGUAAAGCUCUGUGGAGAGGGACGAAAACCCUGGUUUCAAAUAGGCUCCAGGCUUGACGGUACCUCUUUAGCAAGCACCGGCUAACUCUGUGCCAGCACG